CCAGGGCGGAAGUGGAGGAGCGGCCGGAAGUAGUCCGAAUCCCCGUCAGACUGACCGGCCGGCAGGCUUUGACAGGAGCCGGAGCUGCGGAAAGAAGUUGGUGGCAAUGGAGUUGGGCGAGCUGCUUUAUAACAAGUCGGAGUACAUCGAGACGGCAUCUGGAAACAAAGUUAGUCGCCAGUCUGUGUUGUGUGGAAGUCAGAACAUCGUUCUCAAUGGCAAGACCAUUGUGAUGAACGACUGUAUUAUCCGAGGGGAUCUGGCAAAUGUGAGAGUUGGACGUCAUUGUGUUGUGAAAAGCCGGAGUGUCAUAAGGCCACCUUUCAAGAAAUUCAGCAAAGGUGUUGCAUUUUUUCCUUUACAUAUCGGGGACCAUGUCUUUAUUGAGGAAGAUUGUGUGGUCAACGCAGCUCAGAUUGGCUCUUACGUUCACGUUGGCAAGAACUGUGUGAUUGGGCGCCGGUGUGUAUUGAAAGAUUGCUGCAAAAUUCUUGACAACACAGUUUUACCCCCAGAAACUGUGGUGCCGCCAUUCACUGUCUUCUCCGGCUGCCCAGGGGAGACAACAUGAAAAGAGAAGCAAUUUCUGGAUGGAAACGCACAUUUGGAAUUUGAAAAAGCAGUUGCAUUGCCAGUGAGCCCUAGGUGAAAUGUCCAACGCCUAGAGGCUGAUGCCAGGCCAGCAUGAUGUACAUGGUUUUGAGUGGGUCAGACUGACAACAUGAAAAGGAAGCCUUGCUUGUCACUUGGACUUGGACCAUGGCUGUCUGGUACUGCAGUAUGACUUCCUGCAAGAAGCCAAAGAAAAGCAGCUGGCUCUCUUGGAAUCCCAGAUUCACUAAUUGUAAAAGUCUGCAUGUGACUAGCUCAAAACUGGCCUCUGUGAGCUGUUUCAGCCCCAGCAGGAGCUGUGCUGACCUGGAAGCAGACACAGGCUCCAUGAAUAGGACUCAGACCCUGGGACCGUUGAAGGUUUAGGACCCCUUCUGUAGAGCUCUCUUAUGUAUUAUGAAAACCUACAUCGUGGAUGCUGGCCGGACUGUCGGGCCACAUACACAUGCCCACAGGAGAAGGCUUAUUCUCUGAUGGGACCAUCUACAAUCAAGCUGCUGGUCAGCUCUUUGUCGCGAAUGCGGAGGCUACCUGCAUCCUGAUUUGUGAUCCCUGCCAAUGUUGGGGGAGGGCACAUCACAGGGACUGUGACCCCUCCACUGCUGUUGAAGAUCAGACUCUGGGCCUUCUCGGCAGGGAUGUCUCACUGGUGUUGACUUGUGUUCGGCUUUCUAGACUAGUUGCAGCUUAACCACAGUGGGCUGAUAGCCUGAUUCUAUUUCCUUACUGCACCCCCCCCCCCACCCCCAUACACACCUAGUAAGGUAGGUUCAUUAUUUGAAUAUAGCUGUCUCAAGAGGGAUUGAUCUAGGCUGUUCACUGAAUAAAAGGAAUGGGAGAUGAUGUACACCCAUUUGGAAACUUUUGAAAAUUCAAGCUUUCUGGGGCGCCUGGUCUGCCAGGGCUCCCAGAACAAAAUGCCUCAGACUGGGGGGCUUAAAUUAGAGAAAUAUGUGCUCUCACAGUUCUAGAGGCCUGCAGUCCAAGACCAAGGUAUUGGUGGGUUUGACUUCUCUCAAGCCCUCUCUCUUGGCUUAUAGAUUCUCACCGUGUCCUGACAUAGUCACCCCUCUGUGCUGUCUGUAUCCUGAUCUUCUCUUCUAAGGACACCAGUCAGUUUGGAUGAGGGCCCACCCUAGUGAUUCUAUUUUAAUUCAAUCAGCUCUUUGAAAGUCCUGUCUCCCAAUAGAGUCACAGUUCAGAGGUACUGGGGGUUAAGGCUUCAACAUAGGAAUGGCAGAGGGGACACAGUUCAACCCCUGUAACACAUCCUGACCAAUGCCUGAAUUUGUCUUUCUGGUUAAGUUAGAUAAAAAUGUUUAUCUGCAAAAAUGUAUUUGUGUCUCUUGCAUACAGCCUUUGCAGAUAAAAAGCCUGGAGGAGACUAAGAGGGGAUUGGAAGAAUGUCGUUGGGUUGCUGAACAGCGGGGCCUACAGAUUUUGUAGCAAUGAAAAGGCAAAGUCCUGGCACCUGGGGAGCCUGGGGGAAAUGGUGGGGGGCAUCUAUAAUCUUGGAAGCUUUCCCCUCUUCCUCACGGAAAGCUCCAGUGCUACCUUUCCAUGCUCUGGAGUGCUUUGAGUUCAGACCGCUGAGCCUGUGAUCACACCAGGCAGCCCUGACUCUGACGACAGAGGGGGCCAGGGCCCUGAACUUCCACACAGAAUGCACACUCAUGAGAUGGGGACACUUGUAUCACAGACAAGUAGAAUUGUUUGGAACUGACUGCCUUCAGGCAGCUCUUCCGAUACCAAGGGCUGGCUGGAUCUUCCAGACCGAACUGGAAGCCCUAGGGCAGGAGAACCGUGGUAAGAGGCUUACACUGGGGGCCCUGUUACCCUUCACUGCCUAACAUAUGUCUUGCUUGAGGUACCCUAACAUUGAAAACUCAUUUCCAGUGGGACCAUGUGCCCUCUGGGACUGUACUAAUGUCUUUGUGCCCUGUCACUACAUUGCCUCAGCCCUGGAAGGCUUCAGAUCAGCCUGAACUUACUGGCCACGGCUGUGCUGUACCUGAAUUGGUGCCUGGGGCCAGGUAAAAAUGAAUCAUACAGAAGUUUAGGGAGGAAGCCACUUGGCUUUCUAAGAUAGACUGUUGUUCUUUUUUUAAUUGAGGUAUAGUUGACAUAUAACAUUAUAUCUAAAGUAGACUUUGAUGGUUAAUGGGACCCCUGGCAGGCAUAACAGAUCAGCACUGCAGUUUGGGCUCAUCUUUUUGCAUGGGGUCCUACUGAUAAUACAUUUGCUGCAAAGAAGCAUGAGCCAAGGCCAAGGGCCAAGGGGAUGGACAGCGCAGAAGGGAGUUAACACAGUAAGCCUGAGACUGCUCUCCUUGUUUGCAAGGCUGACCCUUGGCUGGCAUCUGGGUAAUUGGAUUUUGAGUGGAUUCUCACCAUUACCUAAAUAGUAAGAAUGGCUCACUGUGCCUAAACUGUGCAGACAGUAUGGUUUAUGCUAAAUGCCUGCUUUUCUUCCAGGAAUCCAACAUUUUGGUAUGUGCCAGGCAGAGGGUGUCUACUUGGCCAGCCUAUUGGGCCAGCAGUAUAAAACCCUGGGCACUGAGCCUCUAAGGAGCUUCCCUGACAAAUAACACUUCACACUUGCUGUCAUAACUCAUUGCUGGAGGAAUUUAGUGUUCUUUGUGUCUAUACUGUGAGAAGUCUCUGGGAAGCUUGUACCUGGUUUCCUCUGGGCUUUGUGCUAUGCACCUUUUUCUGUUUGCUGAUUUUGCUUUGUAGCCUUUUGCUGUAAUAAAUUAUAGCCAGCUGUCAGUAAGACUAUAUGCUGAGUCUUGUGAGUCUCCUAACAAAUCAUCAAACUGGGGGGGGAGGGCACUUUGGGGACUCCCAAAACAGGAACAAGGGGGACUUCUGGGUGUUGGUAGUGUUCUCUUUCUCAGUCUGGUGUUGUUUAUGCGGGGUGGGUUCAAGUUGUGAAAAUUCAUUGAGCUGUACAGUUAUGAUAUAUAUGCUUUCUACAUAUCUUAAACUUCAAUAAAGAGAUUACACACCA